rnacentral:rRNA from 1 species
AACGAACGUUGGCGGCGUGGAUUAGGCAUGCAAGUCGUACGAGAAAGGUUUCUUCGGAGACCGAGUAAAGUGGCGAACGGGUGAGUAAUGCAUAGACAACUUACCCCCGAGAUGAGAAUAACGCCGGGAAACUGGUGCUAAUACUCAAUGUCGUUCGUGGUCCGCGGAUCGCGAUCGAAAGGAGGCCUCUGAUUCAAGCUUCCGCUCGGGGAGAGGUUUAUGUCCUAUUAGCUUGUUGGUGAGGUAACGGCUCACCAAGGCUGCGAUGGGUAGCCGACCUGAGAGGGUGACCGGCCACAUUGGGACUGAGACACUGCCCAAACUCCUACGGGAGGCAG